rnacentral:rRNA from 1 species
GCGGUAAUACGGAGGGUGCGAGCGUUAAUCGGAAUUACUGGGCGUAAAGCGCAUGCAGGUGGUUUGUUAAGUCAGAUGUGAAAGCCCGGGGCUCAACCUCGGAAUUGCAUUUGAAACUGGCAGACUAGAGUACUGUAGAGGGGGGUAGAAUUUCAGGUGUAGCGGUGAAAUGCGUAGAGAUCUGAAGGAAUACCGGUGGCGAAGGCGGCCCCCUGGACAGAUACUGACACUCAGAUGCGAAAGCGUGGGGAGCAAACAGGAUUAGAUACCCUGGUAGUCCACGCCGUAAACGAUGUCUACUUGGAGGUUGUGGCCUUGAGCCGUGGCUUUCGGAGCUAACGCGUUAAGUAGACCGCCUGGGGAGUACGGUCGCAAGAUUAAAACUCAAAUGAAUUGACGGGGGCCCGCACAAGCGGUGGAGCAUGUGGUUUAAUUCGAUGCAACGCGAAGAACCUUACCUACUCUUGACAUCCAGAGAACUUUCCAGAGAUGGAUUGGUGCCUUCGGGA